GUUGGAGUGGGUGAUCUCCAGAAGUCUCUUCCAACCCCUAUAGUUCUGUGACUCUAUGAGUGCCAAGAGAAUUGUGCAGCAGGGCAAUGGAAUGGUUCUGGCAGCUGGGAUUUGGGUUUUGUAGCAGCAAGAUGGAAACACACUCAUUGUUUGUGCCAGGGCUCUGCUAGUGCUGCUCUGGUGUGAAGUGUUUGGGGGCAGGAGGAGGCUGUGCUGUGGGGUUGGCAGUAGGGCACCAGCAGCCUGUCCCCAGCACACAGCAACCCCGUGCACAGGGAGCUGCACAUCAGCACAACAUCCAUCACAGUUUGCAAUAACGCUGGCAGCCUGCUUUAAUAUCCUCAGAGAUGGUAACUCUGGAAAAGCUCUAUUUUAAGUAUUAAUACACUUUUUUUUUUUUUUUUAAGUAAAAUAUUUUGUGUAGUACAGAUUGCUGACUGCACGCAGGAGCGGAGGUGCUUGGCAGCAGUGUUGGACAGCUUGUGCAAGGGGAAGAAUAGCAGCCCUCAUGCCCUGGGCUGUGGUACAGGGUUUGCAGCUCAGCAGGUUGCAUGCAGUGAGUUUAAUGCUGAUGGAGAGAGGUGAACUGAUGCCUCUACCCUUGCACCCACGGCCCUGCAGCAGUGUGAAUCCAGGCUGUACCAGUAACACAAUGCAGGGGCAAAGUGAGUACCUCCAUCCUUGGCCUCAGCACUUCUGUUCUAAGAUCAGGCUGUUAGCAAAGCCCAGGAGCUGCUGGGAAACACCUUUCUCAUUUUGCACUGAGCAGCUGGCAGCCCAGUUAUCUGUAAGGAGGAGAGGUAAGGAGGAGAGGUGCUCACAUAACAGCAUGGAGAAGUGGAAGCAAGCUGCUGGUCUGGGGGUUGUGUCUGGUUAAAUGAAGCUGUCAGCCUGUGUAGAAACUAUGGAGGAUGGGAAGCAGCGGGAAUAGGGCUGGGAUUCAUGGAAACAGAGAGACUUGGAAUAGGAGGAGAGUCUCCUUGAGGAAGAGGAGAUGCCGUUGCCUGGGGGGGCCUAUGAGUAAUGUAGCUCUGGGCAGCGUGCAGAGAGGGAUGGGCUGAUAAGGUUGGGUUCUACGUGUCAUCGCUGUGGGGUUUUCUUGUUUGAUAUGCUUUGUGUUUACCUGGGGCCUUCCUUAUAGAUCUUGGAGCCUCUGCAGUGGUUCUGCAGCUCGGAGGAGCCCAGGGCUGGAUCUGCAGCCUGAAUUACCAACUGUAAAUCCUCUUGCUGUGGAGCCAGGACCCUCCCUUCUACCCAGCACAGCCUUUAGCAUGCAAUCAUAGAGUUAUUAAGGUUGGAACAGAUCACUGAGAUCAGACUGCAAACUGCAGCAGGAAGGGACUCUCUGGUGUCAGUGGGAGCAGUGUGUGUGCUGCCUGUGAUCCUGGAUGGGACCAGGAGGGAGCACUGGCAGUGUGAGCACCUGCUGCAGGUGCUGGCACUGCUAGGGUGUGUGCUGCUGAGCUGUAAAUCAUCUGGAAAAAGUGUGCCUGGUGUUUGAAAGGAAGCACAAACAGCUGUGGAAGAACUGCAGGUAGUGCUGCUUUUAGAGAGGGAGAUGUGAUCAGCGAGUCAGCGUUUGUUCGUGUUUUAUUUGGAUCCAUCUGGCACCCUCUUGGUAAGUGUUAUGAACAUUGUGAAUAACUGUCUCUCUCCUCUCCUCCCCCUUCAUCUCUCUCACAGUGGUUUCUAGCGACAGCGACUCGGAGCUCAGCUCUUCCAGCCAGGAGGACAGGCCCUCAUCUGCAGGGUCAAAAGGCUCUCCAGGAGGAAAGCAGCAAGCAGGACAGGUGCUCUCCGGGGAGCCCGGCCGGCCCAUGAGGGUGUCUGGGAGCCACAGCAGCGCAGGCAGCGGGCAGGGAGAGAGCUGCCAUAGUGACCAGGCUGCAGAUGGGCACGACAGCAGCGGCGGCAGAGGCCCAGGCAAACGGUGCACCCACAGCAGAACCCGCUGUUGACAGAGGUGAAGAUGGAGCUGAGCUGCCUGAACCCAACUCUUGCCCUUUCCUGUAGGCCUCACUACGGACGUUGCCUGGCACCAAUGGGGACUUCCACGAGGCCAGCCCUGCUUCUGGUUUGGCAUGGUGAAGUUUGCAGUGAGCCCACUGGUCAUCAUGCCCUGCACUGCGGGCAAUGCAGCUCUGGGUGGGAGAACAGCACCCCACACACCCCCAGCUGGCUGCCCAAAUCAGCUAAAAGCUUUCCAAUUACUUUAUCUCAUUAAGCUCUGCAGAUUCUCCUCCCACGUGCACACCUUGUGAUCUCCUGCACAAAUAGGGGCCUGCUUUGUGCCUUUUUCCUGGCAGUCUCGAGCACCUGGCUGUAGUGAUGGUGUCACAGUGAGUCAGGCUGAGAGCUCUGCCCCAGUCCUGCUACUUCCCUGGGAUGGACAAUUUCCCUCCGAGGCCUGGCUGAUGAGAAAAAUCAAAUUACCUGACAUUUCUAGAGCAAUUAGAUCUUUAAAGGCUUGAACAAAAGCUCACUCUAGGCAAGUAGGAGUCUGUGCAUUGUUAUGAAAUGCUUUGAAUCUGACCUGUGUUUUGCUGAAGAAACGAAAGAUUCCAAAAAGUUCCCUCUUCAGUCAUGGAUUUAAAAGCAAUUCAUGCCUGUUAAUGUCAACCUGUUCCCUUGGUUAUUACUCUUUUGUUCAGUGCUCCUUUGCUGCUGGGCUCUUCGUGUGCAUGUAGUGUAUGCUCUUACAAAUGGCUGCAGUAUGAAGAUAAAUGAGAUCGAGUGCUGGAAUACUAUAACAGGAGAUUGGAAAUCAAUCCUUGACUUUCUUUCUAAAUGAAUAUGGUCCAGCAGAGCACUGUUCCCCUACUGCUUUUCCAGCUAACACUCUAUGGUAUGUUACUGGGGAAGUCCUUCCAACUGUUCCUCCGUUAUGCUUCUGCUCUUUGGUAAAUGAAGGCAAAGCCUUCGGGUGACACAGGUUGCAGGAAGAGAAAUGCCUGGACAUGAGUUUCAACACAUGGUGCUGAAGAGAGCAAGGGAUGAGCUUGUUGUCCUGAGGGAUGCUCCAAGUGGAGUGGUUGCUAACCCUGGUCACCAAGCCCAUUCUGCCAUCCAUAGGAAGACUGCGUGUGAGUUAAGGGAAGGAUCCAGCCCAGGAGAACAUGACCUGGCCCCAUCCCACUGUGACUGAACACACUCACCACUGUGUCAUUUCUAUUUUCAAGUUCUCCUUUCCCUUUGUUGCGACUCUCUUGGUUGUAUUCUGUAGCUCUGGUUGGAAUAUUAUCCCAAAGCUGCACCAGUUGAUGUCUUUUUACUUGGCUCAAAGAGGGCAAGAAGGGCUCAGUGCAUGGUGCUCAGUCUACUCCGUUUGCGUUGCAUUUAUUGUUUUGUUGUUCUCAUCUCCCUCCCUUACAACUUUUAUGUAGUGUUUUACUACUGGAAACAAUAAAGCUUUGGCUCUGGAA